rnacentral:rRNA from 1 species
GACGAACGCUGGCGGCGUGCUUAACACAUGCAAGUCGAACGGAAAGGCCCUGCUUUUGUGGGGUGCUCGAGUGGCGAACGGGUGAGUAACACGUGAGUAACCUGCCCUUGACUUUGGGAUAACUUCAGGAAACUGGGGCUAAUACCGGAUAGGAGCUCCUGCUGCAUGGUGGGGGUUGGAAAGUUUCGGCGGUUGGGGAUGGACUCGCGGCUUCUCCGCUUGUUGGUGGGGUAGUGGCUUACCAAGGCUUUGACGGGUAGCCGGCCUGAGAGGGUGACCGGCCACAUUGGGCCUGCGAUACGGCCCAGACUCCUACGGGAGGCAGCAGUGGGGAAUAUUGCACAAUGGGCGGAAGCCUGAUGCAGCAACGCCGCGUGCGGGAUGACGGCCUUCGGGUUGUAAACCGCUUUCGCCUGUGACGAAGCGUGAGUGACGGUAAUGGGUAAAGAAGCACCGGCUAACUACGUG